CGCAGACCGCAGCGGCGGGUGUGUGCUCUGAAGAGGAGAGCAGCCGUGGGAAACAAGAGCUUCAUAAAAUGGAAUCAGAGAGUCUACACUCGUCUGUCUGGCUCCCGUUGCUCAGCCUAAUGUCUGUGAGAGCCAUCUCCUGUUCUUCCUCCAGGUGAAAAAUUAUGGGAACUGUCACACCAAAUCAGCUGGGCACCCUUCUGUCAUGGGAUCCAGACCGGGAGAAGAGUGCUUGCCUGGCGGAGUGCAUGUGACCAGCGUGUGACGGGCUGUGCAGGUCUGUGCCAUCCGGCGUCCGGAUGGCACCGGCUCUCCUGGCCCAAAUAACCAUAAAAAGGAACAGAUUUCAGGCAGGCAGUUUGACAGCGUUCCCGCCGAUUUUGCCAACUUCCAGCCACUUCUUUCUCUAGCCCCGAGCAAAAGAGGCACAGAACCAUUAUUAAAAUGCUCUCAAUAUAUAGGUCA